UAGGGAAUCUUCCACAAUGGGCGAAAGCCUGAUGGAGCAACGCCGCGUGUGUGAUGAAGGGUUUCGGCUCGUAAAACACUGUUGUAAGAGAAGAAUGACAUUGAGAGUAACUGUUCAAUGUGUGACGGUAUCUUACCAGAAAGGAGCGGCUAAAUACGCGCCAG
rnacentral:rRNA from 1 species